AUGCUUUGUGGUAAUUGCAGUACUUAAGGGAGGAACUUGCUAGGGUAGAUGAGAACUGGGCUGCUGCCCGGUUCGAUUCACUGCCUCAUGUUGUUCGUAUAUUAACCUCAAAAGACCGUGAAGGUGAUGUCCAAGUCUUAAAGGAGCAGAGUGAAAUUAUUGAGGAAGUUGUGGAUGAAGUAGUGCAUGCCUACCAUGGUGGCUUCAAUUUUAUUACCAUUCUGUGAUCAUAUGCUAUUUAGUCGGUAGCGGAGCUAGAAUUUUCUGUUAUCCCUGUCAUAUUCUGAAAUUAAAAUACGAUAGAAAUUUUAAAUAAAGUAGAACCAGAAAUGGAGAUGAAACUGAAUUUAUAUGUAUUUACAAUGUGUCUUAGUGGGAAAGUCUCAACCUAUUCAAUGUGGAAAGGUGCUACUUCAAAUUGCAUCCUUUCUAGUGUCUUCUCGGGAAAAUACCUAUUUUUUUUUUUCAUUCGCACCUCUAAAACCCAACAUUUUCGCUUGGGGGGUGGGGGGUCAAAAUAUAAAGAAGUAAAUCCAAGAAGAAGAUAAGGGGUGUCAAUAUGUAAUAUAUAUAUAAAACGAGAUGGUUUUCAGUACAACCUAUGUACUCUCCUUGUCAAUAUACACAAAUGUUAACUUCUCAAAAAAAAAUAUACUUUAUAUACAUUAAGCAAAUAUUUUUACCAAGCCACACAGGGUAAUUUCUGACACGUGGCUCCUCUACUGUCUGUUGUAAUUAGCUUAUAUGGGGUUUUUCCUUUCUCUUAUUAGAAUGUUGGGUUAUUUCCGUAGCAUUUCUUUGAUCAUAUGCGCAUUGGACUGUGGCGAAUUUCUUCCUAUUUUGGUCUCCUUUUAGUGAAAUUUGUAGUAAUUUUGGUUUAUAUAUUAUGAUAAUCGUGGGUUAUUUCUAGCACUUUUUUUGUAAUACAUUCUGUGGAAAGUAGCUUAUUGUCUUCCUAUUCGUUACUUGUAACAAUAUAUAUAUUAAUUGGGUUUUAUCUAUUACUAAAUCUUGGGUUAGUUAUUUCUGUAUCAUUUUUUUGAUCAGAUGCUUUGUGGUAAUUGCAGUACUUAAGGGAGGAACUUGCUAGGGUAGAUGAGAACUGGGCUGCUGCCCGGUUCGAUUCACUGCCUCAUGUUGUUCGUAUAUUAACCUCAAAAGACCGUGAAGGUGAUGUCCAAGUCUUAAAGGAGCAGAGUGAAAUUAUUGAGGAAGUUGUGGAUGAAGUAGUGCAUGCCUACCAUGGUGGCUUCAAUAAAGCUAUUCAAAAUUAUUCUC
rnacentral:lncRNA from 1 species